CUGCACACGCCCCCCCCCCCAUCAACCAAUCACAGUGUCUCAGCACUCUGCACAGUGUCUCAGCACUUUCCUCAGCUAUUGGAACACAGAACGCUUCAAGACACAGUUUUCUUCACUACUCCAGAGAGGAGAAGCGCAGUGCAGGACAGAUUGAAGAUUAGCUGCAUCCCUAUCUUGGCACCAAGCAUUGGUCUUUGAGUAUUUGAUGGAGACUCCCUUUGUUCUUGUUAUGAAGACUGUCUACUUUUCAGGAUCGUGAAUUAUUUCCCAAAAUUCCUUUGGAAGAGAAUUCGAACCAAGAAAUGUGUUUACCAUCUUUUUUCUGCGCUAUCCAGCAAUGAAGACGUCAGAUUGCAUCUUUUAG